rnacentral:rRNA from 1 species
UACGAAGGGGGCUAGCGUUGUUCGGAAUUACUGGGCGUAAAGCGCGCGCAGGCGGUCUUCCAAGUCAGUGGUGAAAGCCCGGAGCUCAACUCCGGAACUGCCAUUGAAACUGUUAGACUUGAGGACGAGAGAGGUGAGUGGAAUUCCCAGUGUAGAGGUGAAAUUCGUAGAUAUUGGGAAGAACACCGGUGGCGAAGGCGGCUCACUGGCUCGUAUCUGACACUCAGGCGCGACAGCGUGGGGA